AUUGAACGCUGGCGGCAUGCUUUACACAUGCAAGUCGAACGGUAACAGGUUAAGCUGACGAGUGGCGAACGGGUGAGUAAUGCAUCGGAACGUGCCCGAUCGUGGGGGAUAACGCAGCGAAAGCUGCGCUAAUACCGCAUACGAUCUGAGGAUGAAAGCGGGGGACCGUAAGGCCUCGCGCGAUCGGAGCGGCCGAUGUCAGAUUAGGUAGUUGGUGGGGUAAAGGCUCACCAAGCCAACGAUCUGUAGCUGGUCUGAGAGGACGACCAGCCACACUGGGACUGAGACACGGCCCAGACUCCUACGGGAGGCAGCAGUGGGGAAUUUUGGACAAUGGGCGAAAGCCUGAUCCAGCAAUGCCGCGUGCAGGAAGAAGGCCUUCGGGUUGUAAACUGCUUUUGUACGGAGCGAAAAGGUUCUCUCUGAUACAGAGGGCUCAUGACGGUACCGUAAGAAUAAGCACCGGCUAACUACGUGCCAGCCGCCGCGGUAA
rnacentral:rRNA from 1 species